AGGGAGGCCCUAGCACAGGUGCUGCAUGGCCGUCGUCAGCUCGUGCCGUGAGGUGUUGGGUUAAGUCCCGCAACGAGCGCAACCCCGCCGUUAGUUGCCAGCGGUUCGGCCGGGCACUCUAACGGGACUGCCCGCGAAAGCGGGAGGAAGGAGGGGACGACGUCUGGUCAGCAUGGCCCUUACGGCCUGGGCGACACACGUGCUACAAUGCCCACUACAAAGCGAGGCCACCCGGCAACGGGGAGCUAAUCGCAAAAAGGUGGGCCCAGUUCGGAUUGGGGUCUGCAACCCGACCCCAUGAAGCCGGAAUCGCUAGUAAUCGCGGAUCAGCCAUGCCGCGGUGAAUACGUUCCCGGGCCUU
rnacentral:rRNA from 1 species